GGAGAGUUGGCUGAGUGGUCGAAAGCGGCGGUCUUGAAAACCGUUGAAGUGCGAGCUUCCUGGGGUUCGAAUCCCUAACUCUCCGCCA
rnacentral:tRNA from 1 species